rnacentral:rRNA from 1 species
UACAGAGGGUGCUAGCGUUGUUCGGAAUUAUUGGGCGUAAAGGGCGCGUAGGCGGCCCAGUGUGUCGGGUGUGAAAGCCCACCUCUUAAAGGUGGAAUUGCAUUCGAAACUACCGGGCUGGAGUGUCGGAGAGGAUGGCGGAAUUCCUGGUGUAGAGGUGAAAUUCGUAGAUAUCAGGAGGAACACCGGUGGCGAAGGCGGCCAUCUGGACGACAACUGACGCUGAGGCGCGAAAGCGUGGGGAUCAAACAGG